rnacentral:lncRNA from 1 species
GGUAUGGAUCUUUAAGAAUCCUAUCACUUCUAAGCUCAAAAAUUGUUUUGACAUCCUUAAAUUGAGGAUUCUUAUGUGGGACAUUGGAUUGAUGACUAGGUCCAAGUGGUUGGUAGGUUGUUAUUGAGAUUCGGUAAGCAAUUGACUUGAUUCUCUUCUCAUGGUGGCCUCAGCUAACUAUCCUAUUUAUGCUUCUAGCCUAGUGA